rnacentral:lncRNA from 1 species
AAGAAACCGAAGUAUACUGGCCAGGGGAGUUGUUUUCUGUUACAAUCUGACAUUUGAAGUCUAUGUAGCUGGAAGUGCGGAAGCUAGAAGACAGAAGCUUUGCAUGUCUGCUCCAGCGUG